UACGGGGGGGGCAAGCGUUGUUCGGAAUUAUUGGGCGUAAAGGGCUCGUAGGCGGCCAACUAAGUCAGACGUGAAAUCCCUCGGCUCAACCGGGGAACUGCGUCUGAUACUGGAUGGCUUGAAUCCGGGAGAGGGAUGUGGAAUUCCAGGUGUAGCGGUGAAAUGCGUAGAUAUCUGGAGGAACACCGGUGGCGAAGGCGGCAUCCUGGACCGGUAUUGACGCUGAGGAGCGAAAGCCAGGGGAGCAAACGGG
rnacentral:rRNA from 1 species